GUAAUUACUGCACUUAAUCUUGCUUGCCUUAACUUAAUGUUUUUAUUGCUUUUUAUUUCAGUUGUGGAAACCUCAACUUUGCUCGAAGAAGUCACUGUAACAACUGCAACAAACACCGCUAUGAGUCUAGUCUUAGUCCUCACAGGGGUUACUUUGACUCUCCUCCACGAGUGCCUGCAAGGCCACUUGGUCAACCAAGUGAUCGUGCUCCUCCAAGAGAAAUGGCGAGGUACAAGCCAGCACCCCGUGAUUGGGGUGUGGGUGAUCCUAGAAGUUAUCCAGCUAGAUCACCUCCAGAACGCGUAGGACGAUUUCCAGAUCCAUUGCAGAGGGAAAGGGGUUUCCGUGGUGAACGUGAGUUGCGUGACCCUGUGAAGUUUGAGUGGUCUGCUGCGGAGUACAAGCAGAGGGAGGGUCCACAUGGUGGGUUGUAUCUUGACAGGAGCCGAUCUCCUCAGGGGAGCUGGGGGAGCGAUAUGCGGGACAGAAGCAGAUCUCCUGCAGGUAACAGACCAAUGAAGGGUGCUUUCUUGGGCAGAGGUCGACCAGACCUAGAGUAUGGUGGUUCAUAUGUAGGCCGAGGGCGGUUGGAUGGUGGGCGCGGGCGUGGACGUGGGCGUGGCCGUGUUUACAGGCCAGGAGGUGAUCCAUACCCUGGCGAGGGCCGAGAUGAUCGGCGCGCUGCUCUUCAUGGUAGGGAUGAUGGGCGCUACUAGUUCAUCCUUUGAACUGAUUCUCUGGAAAGAAAGAUCUAGUUAAGACGGUGCAGGUCCAGCCUGUAAUAUUAAACUAUCAGUACUGUUUCCUCAACUGUGAUGACAUUUGCAAUGUUCUGAAAUGAACAAGUCCACUAUGCACUGGAUGAUGGUAUUAUUUUGGUUCAGUGAGCAGCUGGGUUGUUAUGUCAAAGCUGAUCUGAUUAUUUGGUUAUUUUGGGUUGCUUCUCGGUUGGGUUAUACCCUCAUGCCUGGUCGGGUGGAGUAUAUGCAACACAAGGAUUUCAGGUUGCUCUGGCAGCUGUAGGUCACAUGCCUUGGCCCUUGUGGUCUACGAGUUGUGGGCAUAGCCAGAAAGGUUCCGUAAUCACGGCAAUGUGUACUUCCAGUGGAACCCACUGCACUGCAUGAUGGCCUGAAGCAUCAAUGAAAAAGUCAUCAUUGGUAGAGCUACAAACAGGGGUGAUUUAACCUAUUGGAAGAAACUAAAGUUUUGUAGUGUGCAAAUAUCAAAUGUUUCACCGAGGCCUAUUUAGGACGUUGUACUAGGAACGGAAGACAGGUCGUGGUAUGCUUCGAUUUGUGUUAUGAUUUAUGAAUGUGUAUAUCUUGUGCCGGUUACACCAGGUGUAUCAAUUCAUUUUGCACAUAAUUCACAAAAA
rnacentral:lncRNA from 1 species